rnacentral:rRNA from 1 species
GAUGAGCGCUGGCGGCGUGCCUAAUACAUGCAAGUCGAGCGAACGGACGAGAAGCUUGCUUCUCUGAUGUUAGCGGCGGACGGGUGAGUAACACGUGGAUAACCUACCUAUAAGACUGGGAUAACUUCGGGAAACCGGAGCUAAUACCGGAUGAUAUUUUGAACCGCAUGGUUCAAAAGUGAAAGACGGUCUUGCUGUCACUUAUAGAUGGAUCCGCGCUGCAUUAGCUAGUUGGUAAGGUAACGGCUUACCAAGGCAACGAUGCAUAGCCGACCUGAGAGGGUGAUCGGCCAAACUGGAACUGAGACACGGGCCAGACUCCGACGGGAGGCAGCGUAGGGAAUCUUCCGCAAUGGGCGAAAGCCUGACGGAGCAACGCCGCGUGAGUGAUGAAGGUCUUCGGAUCGUAAAACUCUGUUAUUAGGGAAGAACAUAUGUGUAAGUAACUGUGCACAUCUUGACGGUACCUAAUCAGAAAGCCACGGCUAACUACGUG